rnacentral:rRNA from 1 species
CACGCAGGCGGUUUGUUAAGUCAGAUGUGAAAUCCCCGGGCUCAACCUGGGAACUGCAUCUGAUACUGGCAAGCUUGAGUCUCGUAGAGGGGGUAGAAUUCCAGGUGUAGCGGUGAAAUGCGUAGAGAUCUGGAGGAAUACCGGUGGCGAAGGCGGCCCCUGGACGAAGACUGACGCUCAGGUGCGAAAGCGUGGGAGCAAACA